GGGAGGAAAUAUGCUGGAGGAUUUGUAGCGUCAGGACUCUGUUAUUCUGUCCUUCAGUGGCCAAACACAACGUGUAGGUGAGAGAAUGCGGUGUGACUAAAUAUAGUUCAGUACUAUCACUUUUUUUGAUGGCAAAAAGCAUUGGCUGGCCAAGCAAUUGGCUGAUUAAAGGUCAGCUGGCCCUGGGUCAGUCAAUUAAACCGUGCGGUGCCCUUUUGGAGCGGUCUCUUCAUCUAGCUGUAGGAGUGUACAAGAGAAAGUCUCAAUUAAAAAGUUUAAAAGUAGAGUAGCUGUGUGUACAGCUGGAUUCAAUGCCUCAGGUUUUCUUUGCUGACACCUUUUUUCUUCCCAUGGGAGGAAGAGAAAGAAAUGAUAUUUAGUGGAUGUGCUAUUUUCAGCAACCAAACAUGGCAGCCCUGGGAUGACUCUUCUCUGCGCUUGGUCAGGGCUGUGGUCAUGUCUCCACACCUCUGGUGUGUCCAUUCUGAACUUGUUUUGCUUUGGUAACCAUUUUUCUUUUAUUUUUCUUUCUCUCUCUCCCUUUUUUUUUUUUUUUUUUUGGUUGGUUGGGUUUUUUUUUUUUUUUUUUUUCUCCCCAGCCAUGUCCAUUGCUAGGGUGCAACCUGCUGCCUUGGUGAGUUUUGGGACAGAUGUAAAGCAAACAAAUGAAACACACACAGCAAAAAACUUCAGUGCGAGAAGUAUUUGCAGAAGGGUUACAAGAAGCAUCCCAAAGGAGUGCUGUGUAUAAUGAGAGCCCUGACUGAAAAUGUGCAAAGCUGUUUGUCUCCCAGUCAGAGACGAAUCGGAGCGACUGCUGACAUACCGAGGUGUCACACUGAAGGGGAGUCUGCAGGCAGAGCUGGGCUGGCAAGUAUGUGGUCUCCAAGGAACUCGCUUCUUUUGGAUAGGUCGUAAAGCAGGUUAGGCUGAUUCUUAGUUAAUUUCUGGUUUUAAGUAUGUUAUUUCCUGUGAUAAAAGCAUUUACAGUGUAUUUUUAAGUGAGACAUUUAUAAAUG
rnacentral:lncRNA from 1 species